GACGAACGCUGGCGGCGUGCCUAAUACAUGCAAGUAGAACGCACAGUUUAUACCGUAGCUUGCUCCACCAUAGACUGUGAGUUGCGAACGGGUGAGUAACGCGUAGGUAACCUGCCUGGUAGCGGGGGAUAACUAUUGGAAACGAUAGCUAAUACCGCAUAAUAUUAAUUAUUGCAUGAUAAUUAAUUGAACGGUGCAAUUGCACCACUACCAGAUGGACCUGCGUUGUAUUAGCUAGUAGGUGAGGUAACGGCUCACCUAGGCGACGAUACAUAGCCGACCUGAGAGGGUGAUCGGCCACACUGGGACUGAGACACGGCCCAGACUCCUACGGGAGGCAGCAGUAGGGAAUCUUCGGCAAUGGACGAAAGUCUGACCGAGCAACGCCGCGUGAGUGAAGAAGGUUGUCGGAUCGUAAAGCUCUGUUGUAAGAGAAGAACGGGUGUGAGAGUGGAAAGUUCACACUGUGACGGUAUCUUACCAGAAAGGGACGGCUAACUACGUG
rnacentral:rRNA from 1 species